GACGAACGCUGGCGGCGUGCCUAAUACAUGCAAGUCGAACGGAAAGGCCCUGCUGCUGUCGGGUGCUCGAGUGGCGGACGGGCGAGUAACACGUGAGUAACCAGCCCUCCACCUUCGGAGAACUUCAGGAAACUGGGGCUAAUACAGGCUAGGAGCUCCUGCUGCAUGGCGGGGGCUGGAAAGUUUCGGUGGUUGGGGAUGGACUCGCGGCUUAUCAGCUUGGUUGUGAGGUAGGGGCUUACCAAGGCUUUGACGGGUAGCCGGCCUGAGAGGGUGACCGGCCACCUUGGGACUGAGAUACGGCCCAGACUCCUACGGGAGGCAGCAGUGGGGAAUAUUGCACGAUGCGCCGAAGCCUGAUGCAGCAACGCCGCGUGCGGGAUGGCGGCCUUCGGGUUGUAAACCACAUUCGCCUGUGACGGAGCGUAAGUGACGGUAAUGGGUAAAUAAGCAUCGGCUAACUCCGUG
rnacentral:rRNA from 1 species